GCUCUCCUACGGGACGCAGCAGUAGGGAAUUUUCGUCAAUGGGCGCAAGCCUGAACGAGCAAUGCCGCGUGAACGAGGAAGGUCUUCGGAUCGUAAAGUUCUGUUGAAGGGGAAAAAGAGCGGAGAGAGGAAAUGAACUCCGAUUGAUAUUACCCUUCGAGGAAGUCACGGCUAACUACGUGCCAGCAGCCGCGGUAAUACGUAGGUGGCGAGCGUUAUCCGGAAUGAUUGGGCGUAAAGGGUGCGUAGGCGGCCUGCUACGUCUGGAGUGAAAGGUACCGGCUCAACCGGUACAGGCUCUGGAA
rnacentral:rRNA from 1 species